UAUCAUAGCUUUUAUUAAUAAUAUACGCAUAUUUCAGAAUGAUUAAAUUAGUUUUCCAUGUUCAACAUAAGAAAAUGGCAAAACCCAGAAAUCUUUUCACCUGCUGCUCUCUGCUAAUGGCAAUCAUGUUUGGUUUGUCAUCAUCAGUUCAAUUAAAUGACCCUGAUUGGUACUUCUGGUUUCCCUCUAUGCUUGUGCUUGUAUUGUCAAUCUACUAAAUUGGAGAAUCUCAGGGUAUAUCAAACAUGUUGCACAAGUGGCACUGUGUCUUGGAGUAUUGUUGUUUAUUAAGGUUGUGGUUGAAGGUUAUGUAAGAAAGAUAGCUGGAUUGUGGUCAUUAGAUUUGGCUGAGAGAGUUGUUAGGGAGAAAACAGGGAGUUUGUUGGCUAUAAUCUCCAUGGUUUUGCAUUUGGUAUGUUUAUCAGAACCAGUGGAUGUUAAGCCAAGAAAGAAGAGGAAAAUUGUUGGAAGAGGUGUUGUUGCAUAUGCUUUCAAGGCUUAAUUCUUAAACAGGAAUGGCAGGCUUAGUGGCAUUCAGUUAUGGGCUUCCUUUUGUGUUCUUUGUGAUUCAAAAAGGGGAAAUGAGGUUCUAAACAUCAGAUUGGUGGAUUCUGUUUUUUCUGGAGUUUAAUGAUAUCCAUGUUUCAGUUUGUUUCUCGAGAAAAUUUGCUUAUGACUCACUUGAGGGAACUACACAUGACAAUUUUGUUUAUUUUACUAUAUGUAUGGAUGUCAUGAUUGAGUAUUUAAGUAACUUAAUGAAGAUAAAGCACGGUAGGAAGAAUUGUUCAAACUUUA